UAGUUAUUUCGUAAAAAGAGGACUAAAUCAUAUUCACCGAUAAUAGCAGCACCUUGUUUAAUACAGGAGGGAGGCAGACGGCGCCAUUUUGCGUCUGCAGUCAUCUGACACUCAUCCGGCUUUAGUUAUUGCACGCAUACGAACAUAAAUAACAACAAAAGAAAAAUAACCUUGUACAUAAAUGCCAUAAUUAGCCCUAAGUACACACGGUCUUGAAAUACAUUAAACAAACUGAUAACACAAAGAAAGCUUAAUAUCUCCGUGCAUAAUGCAACAUCAAUGUGUUAGCAACUUUAUAAUAAUGUGAAUAAAUGUUUAUGUUUAUAAGCUUUACGAUCAUUUGUGAAUUUUUUUAAGAGGUUUUAUCUCCUUGGCCUUGUUUUUUUGUUAUUUUUAAUGCAACGCUGAAGAGUUGGAUGAUCGCGUCUGCAAUAAUUUGUGACGUAAACAUCGACGACAGCGAUGCAGUAGGAACACAAACGUUCAGUUGUCGUUGGGGCUCGUGAAAGUUUAAAGUGAUUUGCCGAGUUUUGUGUAGUUUCGCUGUUUCCAAGUGUUCAGAUAUGAACUUCUUCGUAGCAAAGUCUUCAUUGUUUGCCCAGCCAAACUCUGGUCGGCUAACACCAAAGUCUUCCUCCGUUUUAAAGAGAGGAUUCGACUGUCUCCAUCGACAACCCGAGCACGAGACAGCGAUGAAAACCUUUAAAGGUCCAGAUGGGAUGCCCCGAAGAGCUGACAGCGAGUCUUCUGUGGCGAUUUCUGGGCGUCACACUUGUGAUAUCUCUAAGAAAAGUCGUAGAUGCUGAUAAAGAGGAGGAUAUUACGUGUCCAGACAGCACGUUCUUUGAGGCGGGCUGCCAACAAACCUUAAGCCACUCGAAUAUCCCAGACCUGCUCUAAAAUAGACGUGCCCAAGUUAUUUCAGUACGGAUUCAUCCUGCGAUGUGUCUGCUCUACCCUCUACUUUCAACUGCUCCUGGGCAUGACCUCGAUGAUCCAAUCCCCAAGCGUCGCUGUUUAGAUACCUCACAGACUUUCUGCAGUCGGGACACAGUGAAGCUUUUUGAAUCCUGUCUGAAAAUGCUGUCACGUGAUAUUCCAGCCUGCAGAAUGCCAGUAGCCUCCGUCUUUGCUUCUACUCAUUGUCAAGGCUUUAUGGAACACACUGAUAAAGCACAGCUGUAUCUCGUAUAAACUAAGAAUAGGAAUAGAGUGGAUUGGGGGACUACGCUCUGCACAUCACCAAGAGACUCCUGCAGCUCUACAAGGAUUACUUCAAAGUCAGAUAUUCCCUUCUUAAACAAAGGUCUCUUGACUCCAGCAACAGAGAGCGGAUUACAGUGGAGGGGUUUAUCUCUCACGGUCACUCGAGAGUUAUCGAGGAAUCUCAUACUGCAGACGUUUCCUCCAGAUAUUGAUCAGAUGAAUGAUAAAUGUGCACUCAAGGAUCAGACUCUUUCUUCAUGUCGGUCACCACCUGUAUCACUGAUAUUGUAGGGUGAUUGAUUACUUGAUGACGCACAUGUACAGGAACGCAGAGAGAGAUGACUAGUGGAACAAAUUCUGAGGCCAUGCAGAGGGAUGGGAAGGACAUCAAAAUCACAGAGGUCAUGGAUCGUUGGACCCUGCAGAUGGGUUACCCUGUCGUCACCAUCAGCAAGAAUGACAGUAUCGUCUCCCAUGAGCACUUUGUGUAUAUGACACAGAUGCCAAGAUCCCGAGUUGUUCAACAAAAGAUGAUGAUGUGAAUGACAAUGGAAACCAGAGCACAGUACAAGGAGAGACAGGGGACCACCAAGGAACGCAAGGAGACUAGAUGGAAACAUAAAUUCGAAGCAGCAGAGAUUCAUCCCCAUCUUCCCCACCACCACCAGGAGGUCCCUGUCCAUUUAACUCCAGGGGGUUGGCUACGCCCCCGCCCUAAUCUCCAGGCAGGAAGUGGAGGAAUUCUUGGCCCUCUGGAUGUGAGCCACGGGCAGGGCCUACGCCAAAGAACUGUACACUCACAAUACUAAUAUACUGCUCACUGAAGUAAUCCUGUUACUCUUCCAUCUACCACUGGACUUCUUGACUGGACAAACGUUCAACGUUCGUAUGUACGUUCAACAGUGGAGCUCCCCAGGGCAGUGUAUUAGGCCCCCUGCUUUUCUCCUACUACACCCAUGACUCUGUGGUUGAGUGAUCUCCAACAAGUUGGUGAGGUUUUCCAAUGACUCGAUUCUGGUAUGCCUUAUCACUAACAAUAUUAACUCACAGGAAGUGGAUGUCUUCUUCUCAUUGAACGUUAGCAAGGUAAUGUUAAUUCAGACUGUGGAGCAAAGCAGGUGUGAACUGCAGUUGCAAAAAUGACCACAAUCAAGUUAUGAUUGAGCAACUUCAAAUACUUGGUGGAUUACCCUACAAGAGACCUCUAUGCUCAAUCACACAAACAGCUUGGUGGCUGUUUCAGCAUCCCUCCAACCAUAUGUUUUGCCUGACCAGGUUCAAGAUCUCUCACAGGAUGCUAAGGACUCUCUAUCCUGAGGCUGUGGAUACACAUUAAGCAUCACUGUCUGGUUUAGAAGUACCCACCGCCCAGGACGCAAGGCACUGAGCAGUGAGGACACCGCAGAAAGCUAUCAGAACUUCUCAAUGAGACAUGAGAGAUUCGAGAGGAAAUUCUACCCCUAAGCAAUACGGCUACUGAAUAAGGACACUUGGGAAAAUCGACAUGUAUCUAUAUAUAGAUUCAUUUUUACGCUGAACUACUCAUAAACUUAACUAAGGAACCCAGCUUUUGUAUUAAAGCAAUAACACACGAGAAGGUGUGUCAUUAUAUAUCAAUCCUGGCUGUGAUUCAGUCAUAGGAUCUCCAGAAAUGUCCCUGAAUACGAUUAUUAUUUUACUGCUGAGUUAAAAGUUUGAUUGGCAGAGGCUUUGGUUGACUUUUAGCCUAAAUGGUUAUAUUUUGUAGUCUCCUUUUUCUAAAGAGAUCCCUUAAGGUGAAAUGUGUCAUUUCUGUGCCACUCACAAAAAAUAUCCUACUGCACUUCACUCAUCUUCUAUUAUUCAGCCCAACAGUCAAUGCUGCCCCAAAGUCAUGCCAUUGGGUGAUACUUUCUAAAUUUCAUAAAUAGGUCUUGCAAUACUCUUUUUGGGCUGUGGGGGGAGAUGUUUUUCUGCUCUGCUUAAAGAACCCUAUUGAAAACGACAAUUUUUCUCCCACCCUCCUUUAGCUCUCGGCAGAAACAAGCCUCUUAUGUGGUGGCAGUCACAGCUGCCCUCAAGGACGUUUUACCAAUUUUUUAUUCAAUUAAACUUUUUGAACUCCCUCAAAAGCCGAUCUUGUGUUCUAUGUUUACUUUAUUACUCUCCGUCAACAGGAGUCACAUGGCAAUAGUUUAUUUUUAAAUGACUCAAUUUCUACUUGAUUCGAAGAUUUCACAACGACUCCAGGGCAUUCCCGUUUUGCCCCAUUAUUUCAUAAGAAUAGCUUUAAAUUCCACAGGGGUUAAAGGGUGUUGUGGGUAUUAAUAGGACGGAAAACCAAAUGCUUUUCCUGCCUACUCGAGUUCAGAGUUUCAUAUUUGUUAUAAAAACAGUUCAACUAGAAGCACCUUGAUCCUUUUCACUUCAUCCCACAUU